rnacentral:rRNA from 1 species
UUAGAACGUCGUGAGACAGUUCGGUCCCUAUCUGCCGUGGGCGCUGGAGAACUGAGGGGGGCUGCUCCUAGUACGAGAGGACCGGAGUGGACGCAUCACUGGUGUUCGGGUUGUCAUGCCAAUGGCACUGCCCGGUAGCUAAAUGCGGAAGAGAUAAGUGCUGAAAGCAUCUAAGCACGAAACUUGCCCCGAGAUGAGUUCUCCCUGACUCCUUGAGAGUCCUGAAGGAACGUUGAAGACGACGACGUUGAUAGGCCGGGUGUGUAAGCGCAGCGAUGCGUUGAGCUAACCGGUACUAAUGAACCGUGAGGCUUAACCUUACAACGCCGAAGCUGUU